CUCUGACAUCACUUCUGUUUUCCACCCACUUUGACCCGCCUCUUCCUGCCAAGAUCCUUUAUUUACCAGAAGCAACACCAUCUUAGCUGUGGCACAGCCAGCAGGAUUCUACAAAUGUUGCUGACAGAUAGAGCUUCAGGAGCAAAUGACGGAAUUCCAAACUUUAGAGCUCUGGGUAGGGGAAGAUUGGACAUGACUUGCUGAGACGGAGACCAACACUUCUGACACAGGUCUUGGAGCUGUGCUGAGCCAAAGCAUUGAUGUUGCUGAGCAAGGGCCCCAGCUGUCCACCACAAUAUAUGAGGGG